UACGUAGGGUGCGAGCGUUAAUCGGAAUUACUGGGCGUAAAGCGUGCGCAGGCGGUUUUGUAAGCCAGAUGUGAAAUCCCCGGGCUUAACCUGGGAAUGGCAUUUGGGGCUGCAAGGCUCGAGUGCGGCAGAGGAGACUGGAAUUCCUGGUGUAGCAGUGAAAUGCGUAGAUAUCAGGAGGAACACCGAUGGCGAAGGCAGGUCUCUGGGCUGACACUGACGCUCAUGCACGAAAGCGUGGGGAGCAAACAGG
rnacentral:rRNA from 1 species